rnacentral:rRNA from 1 species
GACGAACGCUGGCGGCGUGCCUAAUACAUGCAAGUCGAGCGCAGAAGGUUGGUACUUGUACCUCCUGCAUGAGCGGCGGACGGGUGAGUAACGCGUGGAGAACCUGCCUUUGAGCGUGGGAUAACUUCGGGAAACGAAUGCUAAUACCGCAUAAAAACUUUAACCACAAGUUUCAAGUUUGAAAGAUGCAAUUGCAUUACCCAAUGAUGAUAUCGCGUUGUCUUAGCUAGUUUGUUAGGGUAACGCCCACCAAGGCCGAGGUACAUAACCGGCCUGGGCAGGGUGAUCGGCCACAUGGGAACGGAGAAACGCCCAAGACCCUUACGGGAGGCACAAGAGGGGAAUCUUGGGCAAUGGGGGAAAGCCUGACGGAGAAAGGCGGGGUGGGGGAGGAAGGUUUUGGGACGUAAAAACCCUGUUAUUAGGGAGGAAGAUAGGUAGAGGGAAAUAUGCAUGUAGUGACGGUACCUAAUCAGAAAGCGACGGCUAACUACGUG